AGGGCUGUACAACAAAACUAUGGCAAUGGAGCAGACUUUGUUGUGCAGGAAAUAAAGAUUCUGAUGAAGAUCUGCAGGCGUCUGCACAUGGCAGUGUGGAGGAGAAUAUGGCAUCAGAAUUUGAUUUAUCUAGAGCUGAGUAUGACCACCGUCUUGUUGAAGAUCUGCAGGCGUCAGCACAUAGCAGCAUGGAGGAUAUGAAAUCAGAACGUGUAAGACUUUAUUUCUUUCUC